GAGCAUAUGGAUCAUCCUACUGCACCCUCAGAGGCUGGACCAUCGUCAUCCGUUCCUCCGUCAGAUACGGAUGAGUUCUGGAGCAGGAUGACUGAGCUCAUGUCAGCUCAGGCGAAGACUAUCACUGACGGGCUGACGAGCCGAUUGGACGCCCGAUUGGAUGUCAUGUCUGCUGAGAUCAGUGAUCUGAGGCAGCAGAUUGGAGCACUCCGGAGAGAGAGAGACCCAUGGACCAUCUGUGCCACAGGCUGCUGAGUCAGAAAUUUCGGCACAGAGUCAUCCAGCUCGUCGUGCUCCACGCCAGACAGUCCCACCAGGCUCGACCUCCCCUCGCCACGUAUACUAGGAGGAUGAGGACUAGAUCCCAGCCGUUAGAGUCUCCCUAGGCUGUUCUUAGCACUUAUGUUUAGAGCCUAGGCUAGAAAUCUAGUUCUCACAUGUAUCUUGCUUUUCUCACAUGUAUCUUGCUUUUCUCAUAUGUAUCUUUAAAUCUUGAUUAAGGAACAUUGUAUCUUUUUUGUUUUUGGACAUGAAUGUAUUAAAAUGUUCCUAUUUUGAUCAAUGAAGUUUGAAGUUUGUUAUAUAUUGCAUCUUUCCCAUGUAUCUUUUUGAUGAUAACAAAAAGGGGGAGAAGAAAAGAAAGAGUAUUUAAUUUGAGAAGAAAAGAAAGAGUAUUUAAUUUGAGAAGUAAAGAAAGAGUAUUAAUUUUAGGAGAAGUAAAGAUCUUAGGGGAGAAGUAAAGAUAUUGUUUAGAGUAAGUAAAGAAAGAAUAAGAAGAGCAAAAGUAAAGAAAGUUAAAGAAAGGAUUAUGUAAAGAAAAAGAAAUAAGAACUUAUGCAAGAAAAGAGAAAUAACUGGGCAAACAAAUUGAAAAUCAUAUAAGAUAGCUUAUACAUCUAAGGGGGAGCAAUUUGUAACAAUGAAAAUCAUCAAAUCAAAAAUUUCUAUUAAAAUUCAGAAUUUGGCACAUAUAAAUUCAGAAUUUGGCACGCACCUCUCACACCCCGAUACAUAACCUGAAACUCAUAUUUUAUCUCAAAUUUUU
rnacentral:lncRNA from 1 species